rnacentral:rRNA from 1 species
CAGUCGCCGCGGGAAUACGGAGGGUGCAAGCGUUAAUCGGAAUUACUGGGCGUAAAGCGCACGCAGGCGGUCUGACAAGUCAGAUGUGAAAUCCCCGGGCUUAACCUGGGAACUGCAUUUGAAACUGUCAGGCUGGAGUCUUGUAGAGGGGGGUGGAAUUCCAGGUGUAGCGGUGAAAUGCGUAGAGAUCUGGAGGAAUACCGGUGGCGAAGGCGGCCCCCUGGACAAAGACUGACGCUCAGGUGCGAAAGCGUGGGGAGCAAACAGGAUUAGAUACCCCUGUAGUCCCUUCUCUUAUACA